ACGAAAGUCUGACCGAGCAACGCCGCGUGAGUGAAGAAGGUUUUCGGAUCGUAAAGCUCUGUUGUAAGUCAAGAACGUGUGUGAGAGUGGAAAGUUCACACAGUGACGGUAGCUUACCAGAAAGGGACGGCUAACUACGUGCCAGCAGCCGCGGUAAUACGUAGGUCCCGAGCGUUGUCCGGAUUUAUUGGGCGUAAAGGGAGCGCAGGCGGUCAGGAAAGUCUGGAGUAAAAGGCUAUGGCUCAACCAUAAUGUGCUCUGGAAACUGUCUGACUUGAGUGCAGAAGGGGAGAGUGGAAUUCCAUGUGUAGCGGUGAAAUGCGUAGAUAUAUGGAGGAACACCAGUGGCGAAAGCGGCUCUCUGGUCUGUCACUGACGCUGAGGCUCGAAAGCGUGGGUAGCGAACAGGAUUAGAUACCCUGGUAGUCCACGCCGUAAACGAUGAGUGCUAGGUGUUAGGCCCUUUCCGGGGCUUAGUGCCGGAGCUAACGCAAUAAGCACUCCGCCUGGGGAGUACGACCGCAAGGUUGAAACUCAAAGGAAUUGACGGGGGCCCGCACAAGCGGUGGAGCAUGUGGUUUAAUUCGAAGCAACGCGAAGAACCU
rnacentral:rRNA from 1 species